AAAAUCGUACGACUCUUCCUCUCUACCAAAACAAUCAGAACUAAAAUUCUUCUCACAAUGCUUCCCUCUCAACCAAAACAAAAUUUUUGUAAUGCAACUUCUAUCCCUUUCCCCCUUUUUUACGAGCUCCUCUUUUCUUCCUUCAACAACGAAACCCUAAAAUUUUCAAAAAAUCAUUUCCUUCGUUCUCUCUCCACUUUUACUCAUCAGUGGUUUUCUCUCUUGUUCCAUAAUAUAUUUCUUGCCCCCUUAGAUCCCUUCGAAUACCUUCCAGAACUCUCGCAAAUAAAAGAAACCCUAAAUCCUCGUUAUAUCUCAUAUCUCUCCCUCCUUUGUCAUUUAAUCCUUCUACUUGCGUGA